rnacentral:rRNA from 1 species
GAUGAACGCUGGCGGCGUGCCUAAUACAUGCAAGUCGAGCGAACAGACGAGGCGCUUGCUCCUCUGCCGUUAGCGGCGGACGGGUGAGUAACACGUGGCUAACCUACCUAUAAGACUGGGAUAACUUCGGGAAACCUGAUCCCAUACCGGAUAAUAUAUUGAACCGCAUGGUUCAUUAGUUCACGCCGGUUUUGCUGUCACUUAUAGAUGUUUCCGCGCCGCAUUAGCUAGUUGGUAAGGUAACGGCUUACCAAGGCAACGAUGCGUAGCCGACCUGAGAGGAUGAUCAGCCACACUGGAACUGAGACACGGUCCAGACUCCUACGGGAGGCAGCAGUGGGGAAUAUUCCGCAAAGGGCGAAAGCCUGACGGAGCAACGCCGCGUGAGUGAAGAAGGUCUUCGGAUCGUAAAACUCUGUUAUUAGGGAAGAACAAAAGUAUAAGUAAAUAUGCACGUCUUGACGGUACCUAAACAAAAAGCAACGGCUAACUACGUG